rnacentral:lncRNA from 1 species
AAUUUGACCUUCUUACCGCAAAAAGGAAUGAGCUUGUUAACACCCUGUUUUCUUGAUGAGACUUUGGGCAGUGUGGCAGGUGAGGAUGGAGAACCUGCAGAAAGGCCUGUGUGAAAGUGCCCAUUAGAAUAACCUGGCAGCUGUGCUGGAGAUCCACUGGGGCCAAAGAAGAACAUCUACUGCACUCCUGAGGCUUUUCUCAGAAGCUGGAUCUUGUAUUUCCAAAAGGUUACAAGCACACAGAGUGGGGUGGCUUUGCCCAGCAGCUCAGGCCAAUCCAGCUUGACAAUAACAAUGGAAAUCUGGUUUGAUUGUGAGCCUGGCUUUGAUGUGGGGCACUGGAAACCAUGAGAGUGCCAAGAAAACGAUGACUGCCUUGGAUGACAGCAAAUCUCACACAUCCUGACCAGGGAAGUGCCUCCCUCCCAGCAGCUGCAGGCUUUAGGAAAGAGAUUGUCCAGCAUUUCCAUUUGAGCUCCACUUAAAGCUGCAGAUCUAUCAGUGUGGUGUACAAACAUGACAGCUAAGCAAAGCCACAGGCUACCAACUGCUGAUGGUCCAAGAUCUCCAUAUGAGAACACACAUUCCCAGGCUCCACUGGCAAAAGCAAUGUAUUCAGAGCCAAGACACCAGGCUUGUCCCUGACCUGUCCCUGGAAAUCACCUGAAUCAUGUCAGUGUUUUUGUCUCUGUCUCUUCAUCUGAACAUGGAAAUAAUGUGUCCACAUAGGAAUGUCAUGAAUCUGAAGUCUAUAUCCCUUGCCAUCUAGAAAAACUAUCUUGUGUAUCAUGAAGCUUUAAUACCUCCUUUUUAUUGAUUUUAUCCUGACCAUGCCUUGUAUUUCUUAAUUUGCCUUUUUUUUUUUUGCUUAUUUGUUUCUCUAGUUGCAUAUCUUUUGAAGCAAGAGAGUAAAUUAUCUUUAUCCUGCAUGAGUAAAUGAUCUUUAUCCUGCACCAAUUUAAAGAUGUUGGACGUUUAUUUACUUCAAAGUAGCUCCACAGUUCUUGCUCCCAAUACUCACGGGCUUGUCCAUGAGGACUUAUAAUAGCACAAAUGUGACAAAUACUGGGUAA